AUCUCAAAGCACGUCCUGGGAGCCUAACAACUCCUCCAUGCAUCUCAUUCUGGAAGUGAGAAGCAGGGCCAUGCAGCAUCCUGAUGGGCCACGCAGCUCCUCUCUGCUCUGAAGGAGUCACAGUUUGGCAGCAGCGAGCAUGAGUUUCCUAUCUGAAGCGGAACUGUUGUACAGAAACACCAGCGUGUUUUGCAGUCCACAUAGUAGGUCCUGGGCAGACGCUCACACACCUUUGAACUGUGAUAAGGAGAAUAUUAUUACCCUACUGGUGGCCUGGUCAGAUAAGUUGUUUGCGGAGGACAGUCUGCAUUUCUUUCAAGCUCUCAUUCUGCUGCACCAGUAACUCCAGAUUCCAUUCCCAAGGAAAUCAGCCGCUUCUUCUUUGAAACCGCAAAGAGCAAUGGACAGUUUAGGGAAAGACCAUGAUUAUUCCAACACUUCUCUGCCUUCCUCCACAGCCCACGAGGAGAACGCUGAGCCAGGUGCCACCAUGUCCCGCCGCUUGAGAGACCGGGAGCUGCUCCGGAAGAGAAAGGCAGAAGCCAAGGAGAAGGAUUCAAUUCAGUGGGCUCUGGGGGAGCAUGAGAGGAGCAAGCGGCAGAGGAGGGGCCGAGGUGCCAGGCGAGGAAAGGGCCGCGAGCAUGUCGUGGAGCCCACACCACAGCCAAAACCACAGCCAAACCCUCAGCCCCCAAAGAAGGAGGAAGCUGAGACGAUGUCCUCCAUGGUGAUGCAGCAAGCCGAGUCUCCCCAGAUGGACGUGCAGGACCUGUUUUCUGGGGUGCAGCUGGCAGAUCUGGAAGGGAUGCUGGGAUCUGGGAGCCAGAGUCCCCUGGGUGAAGAGGACAUGCUGAAACUGGCAGACGAAAUACAAGACGUAUUGAAUACUUCGCUGGAAAAGAACGAAUCGGAUAGCGAGAUGUACUCAUCGAGUCUAUUUUAAAGUUUUAUUUUAAAAUAUAUAUGUAUUCUUCUAAUUUUUAUGACUAAGAAAUACUGGAAAGCCUUGCAGGGAGACUUAAAAGCUGUUCCUUCCUCGGGAACAAUAAAAAACUGACUCUCUCUCCA
rnacentral:lncRNA from 1 species